UGGGGAAUCUUGGACAAUGGGCGCAAGCCUGAUCCAGCCAUGCCGCGUGAAGGAUGAAGUAUUUCGGUAUGUAAACUUCGAAAGAAUAGGAAGAAUAAAUGACGGUACUAUUUAUAAGGUCCGGCUAACUACGUGCCAGCAGCCGCGGUAAUACGUAGGGACCAAGCGUUGUUCGGAUUUACUGGGCGUAAAGGGCGCGUAGGCGGCAAUUCAAGUCAUCUGUGAAAUCUCCGGGCUUAACUCGGAACGGUCAGAUGAUACUGCUUUGCUAGAGUGCAGAAGGGGCAAUCGGAAUUCUUGGUGUAGCGGUGAAAUGCGUAGAUAUCAAGAGGAACACCUGAGGUGAAGACGGGUUGCUGGGCUGACACUGACGCUGAGGCGCGAAAGCGUGGGGAGCAAACAGGAUUAGAUACCCCUGUAGUCCCUGAGCGGGCUGGCAAGGCGCAU
rnacentral:rRNA from 1 species